GCAUCGGUGGGUUAGUGGUAUACUGAGUCGUUGCCAGUUCGUUCCCUUCUCUGUUCUACGGUAAGGGGGCAUUUUUCAGGAUAUCGACUCGACCCGAGUUCGAUUCUCGGUCGAUGCA